GGAAGGGAGAAGCAUUCUUUCAUUGGUCGGUGUGUAUUCCCUGGUCAGCCAAUCAGAGGAUGCCAUUUAUCCCUCUCUGACUAGC
ensembl:miRNA